rnacentral:rRNA from 1 species
CCUACGGGAGGCAGCAGUGGGGAAUAUUGCACAAUGGGGGAAACCCUGAUGCAGCGACGCCGCGUGAGUGAAGAAGUAUCUCGGUAUGGAAAGCUCUAUCAGUAGGGAAGAAGCAAGACGGUAGCUGACUAAGAAGCACCGGCUAACUACGUGCCAGCAGCCGCGGUAAUACGUAGGGGGCAAGCGUUAUCCGGAUUUACUGGGUGUAAAGGGAGCGUAGACGGUUUGGCAAGUCUGAAGUGAAAGCCCAGGGCUUAACCCUGGGACUGCUUUGGAAACUGUUAGACUAGAGUGCUGGAGAGGUAAGUGGAAUUCCUGGUGUAGCGGUGAAAUGCGUAGAUAUUAGGAGGAACACCAGUGGCGAAGGCGGCUUACUGGACAGUAACUGACGUUGAGGCUCGAAAGCGUGGGGAGCAAACAGGAUUAGAUACCCCGGUAGUC